GACGAACGCUGGCGGCGUGCUUAACACAUGCAAGUCGAACGGAAAGGCCUCUUUCGUGGGGUACUCGAGUGGCGAACGGGUGAGUAACACGUGAGUAACUUGCCCUUCACUUUGGGAUAACUUCAUGAAACUGGGGCGAAUACCUGAUAGGAGCUCCUGUGGCACGGUUGGGUCUGGAAAGUUUCGGCGGUUGGGGAUGGAUUCGCGGCUUAUCAGCUUGUUGUUGGGGUAUUGGCUUACCAAGGCUUUGACGGGUAGCCGGCCUGAGAAGGUGAGCGGCCACCUUGGGACUGAGAUACGGCCGCGACUGCUAAGGGAGGCAGAAGUGGGGAAUAUUGCACGAUGAGUGGAGGCCUGAUGCAGCAACGCCGUGUGCGGGAUGACGGCCUUCGGGUUGUAGACCGCUUUCGCUCGUGACGAAGCUUUGUGUGACGGUAGUGGGUCAAGAAGCACCGGCUAACUACGUG
rnacentral:rRNA from 1 species